UCCGUAGGUGAACCUGCGGAAGGAUCAUUACAGAAAGUAAACGCGGAUCAAACCGCGAACUUCUAAACCUUUGACGAUUGACUCAUGUUGCCUCGGCGGGUCCUCCCGCCAGAGGAUACAUCAAAACUCCUGUUUUAACGAUGUUGUCUGAGCUACAAGCAACGAAUCAAAACUUUCAACAACGGAUCUCUUGGUUCUGGCAUCGAUGAGGAACGCAGCGAAAUGCGAUAAGUAGUGUGAAUUGCAGAAUUCAGUGAAUCAUCGAAUCUUUGAACGCACAUUGCGCCCCUUGGUAUCCCGAGGGGCAUGCCUGUUCGAGCGUCAUUUCACCACUCAAGCCUGGCUUGGUGUUGGGCGACGUCCCCCUUUAGGGACGCGCCUCGAAACGCUCGGCGGCGUGGCACCGGCUUUAAGCGUAGCAGAAUCUUUCGCUUUGAAAGUCGGGGCCCCGUCUGCCGGAAGACCUACUCACAAGGUUGACCUCGGAUCAGGUAGGGAUACCCGCUGAACUUAAGCAUAUCAAUAAGCGGAGGA
rnacentral:rRNA from 1 species